ACGAGGGGCCCGAGCGUUAAUCGGAAUCACUGGGCUUAAAGGGUGCGCAGGCUGGCCCGAAAGCGUCUUGUGAAAGCCCCCGGCUCAACUGCGGGGCUGCCUUCGAGACUGUUUGGCUUGAGCGCGGUAGAGGCUGGUGGAAUUCCCGGUGUAGCGGUGGAAUGCGUAGAGAUCGGGAGGAACAUCGGUGGCGAAGGCGGCCAGCUGGGCCGUUGCUGACGCUGAGGCGCGAAAGCGUGGGGAGCAUACAG
rnacentral:rRNA from 1 species